GAGCUGCUGAGGGAGAGGGGGGUGGGGGGGGCAGUGUGGAGAAGGGGCUCAGGGGAGACUUUAGAGCCCUCCACAACUGCCUGAAAGGAGGUGGUGCUGGGAUGUGGGUAGGCCUCUGCUCCCAGGUAGCAGCGAUAGCACAGAGGGUCAGGUUGGGCGUUAGGAAACAUUUCUUCCUACAAAGAGCUGUCAGGUGCUGCAAUGGGCUGCCCAAGGAGUGGUGGAGUCACCAUGCCUGGAGGUGUUCAGGGAGCACAGGACUGUUGUACCGAGGGCCACUGGUGGUAGGUGGGCGGUUGGACUGGAUGAUCUCGGAGAUCUUCUCCAGCCUUGGUGGUUCUGUGGUUCUACAUCACUGCCUGUCACUGAGAUCUGUGCAGCCAACACAGAGAUGCCCACAAACAGCUGACACUUCUCCAGACUCAGUGCAGGAAACCCAACCGGACUGACAGAAACAGAUAAAUGUUUGUUCUGCUGCUUCCAAUCGGGCAGGCCGUUGCCCUUAAUUCUGGCAUCCGUCAGCUUCUAUUUGUGUGACUGGAUGAAACACAAACACCAGGCUUGGUGUGGAGCAUCCCUCUGUCGGAUAUGAAGUAAGCAGGCUGCAGGUUUGCUGCUCUUAUAACACGACUCCUUUCCACGCCGGGACCGCUUCACUCUUCCACUGCUGACGCUUUGUCACUUGCAGACUUCCAUUCCAAUCCACAACCUGGAAACAGCAGAUGAUGGGACGAGAAUCAGAAUCGUGAUCAUAGCGAUAGGAGCUCCACUGAGGUUACUGGGACUGAUGGGUGCGUUGGGGAAGGGGAAAUACAGUCUGAUUCGCCACAAGGGGAAAACAACCCAAACACUGAACAAUGCACCGAUAUCAAAUGCUUUGCGUUCCCUCUGUCCCGUUGGUCUGCUCAGUAAAAUUAAGGGAUUAACAGCUACGUGACGCUGUGUUACCCACCAGCACACUUCCACUCCCGAAACUGUGCAGCCGUGAACUUUCUCUGCACAACACGGAAUAUGAGUGGGGUGCUGUUCUUAAUCAUUCUCCGAAGUGUUGGGUGACCGGUGUGCUCAGUCGUUUGGCCACUAACAAUGGCUGAGCUAUUGCAGAUGGCCUGCGGUGAUAAACUGCUUUGUGAAGUAAUGCACUGCAAAUGCCCUCUGCGUUCCAAUGGGUUUUCCUCUCACGGUCCUUCGGUAGUGCCCUGUGGCUCCGGGAUGGAACAAUCCUGGGCAGUAAAGAGAUUGAGAUAAUGACAGCCCAUGGUGACAGCAGGGCUGGCAGAUCCAGCCGGGGGGAAGACAGACACGUCCUUGCUGAUAGAAAUACCUGCAUCCUUUGGGAAUUGCAGCUUGGGAAUCAAAGCUGACCUCAUAGACAAGGAUGACGGAGAACAAGCUUUUGAUUUAUGACGAGAUGAAGCUCAAAGUCUGCCCUUCUGAUCCUUCCUCACAACACAGCUUUUGUAUUUGAUGUGAGCUCUUGCACUUUAUUCUUAGAAUGUUAUCUCCUGGGGUAUCAUCUUGAAGUCCUUCAGUUUUGCAGUCGGUUCACUCAUCUCCUUUGAAGCAGGUCGGUUUGGUUUUGGGGUUGUGUUGUUGGUUGUUUUGAAUCCAGCUAAGCCCCAUUUUUAUUAUCACAGAUAAACUAGCCAUUUAUAUUUAAUACUGACCAGUUGCCUUGGUUUGUUUCUUUUUCUGUUCCCCCCUUCCUCCCUCCCCCCAGGCUCUCCCGAAAGCAAAAUCCAGACUUGCUUUCUAGACCCCUCGCUCAUCCUGG
ensembl:lncRNA